rnacentral:rRNA from 1 species
UACGUAGGGCGCAAGCGUUAUCCGGAAUUAUUGGGCGUAAAGAGCUCGUAGGCGGUUUGUCGCGUCUGCCGUGAAAGUCCGGGGCUCAACUCCGGAUCUGCGGUGGGUACGGGGCAGACUAGAGUGAUGUAGGGGGAGACUGGAAUUCCUGGUGUAGCGGUGAAAUGCGCAGAUAUCAGGAGGAACACCGAUGGCGAAGGCAGGUCUCUGGGCAUUAACUGACGCUGAGGAAGCGAAAGCAUGGGGAGCGAACAGG